GCAAGAUCGGUUCUUAUUUGUAACAAUUAUAGAAUUGAUGGUUGCAACAGAGCAAGAGUGACGCAAAUGGUCAAGUAGCCUAUCCUUGCCAAUUUACUGCCAUUAAAUCAGCUGACAAACAAAUACCUGUAUCAUUUCCCCACAAGUCACAAAACGCUACAAAACCAAACGUAGGAAAUGUUGCACAAAACACUAUUGUAGGAUAUGAGAGCACAAAUCGCAGUUCCACAUGCACACUUGCGCAUACAUGUUGGCGCCGCUUGAGAUUCCUCCAAGCCAGUGAACUUUUGACCCAGUACAAAGCUCCAGAAAUAACUCGGGACUUUUGGUGUCCACGGAUUUCCAUCCAGUUGAGUUUGAGGGCGUGCUGCAGCACCCUCAGCACCCUCAGCACCCUCAGCACCUUCAGCACCCUCAGCACCCUCAGCACCCUCAGCACCUUCAGCACCCUCAGCACCCUCAGCACCCUCAGCACCCUCAGCACCUUCAGCACCUUCAGCACCCCUUCUUCACGUGGCUAUGCCUCAGUGGGAGAAAAUAAAAACUCAAAUAGAGGUUAUUACUUUUUGAAAUCCAGCCUCUCUGAUACACAGAAGAACAGUUUUAGUAAAGAGGGAGAAAGAAAAGGGGUGGGUGGCAGGAGAGUGACGCUGGGACAGAAGAAGAUGAGGGAGAGAACUGUGACAGGAAAAUCUCAGUUGCAUACUCCAGUCCUUUCUCCUCAUCUCCUUUUCAAUACCCACUGGAUAAGAAAGCCAGAGGUCCCUCCCCUCUGACCUUCUCCUCCAAUGGGUUUUGAGAAGGAGACGAGGAGCGAGGACGUGGGAGAAUGCAAUUGAGAUCUUUCCAGUGAGACAGGGAUAGAAGAGAGGGGUAGGAAAAGGAGAAAAACAUCCACCCUGAUGUUUUUCAGAGGGCUUUGCUCCUGUGAUAUGACUUAGUUGUAUGGUGUUGUUGGAUUCUGGGUAAACUCUGAUCAUUGGUAUACACAAACAUAGUAUAUAAAGGAAGAGACUGGUUUAUAUGUCAGCAGUAAAUGGUUCUGUAGAAAGACAGAGUGGCUGUGGAAUGUGCUGGGUGGACGGGAGGACGUCACAGGAUUGCUAUAGGUGAAGAGGAUGGACAUCUGUGGAUUAGGCGAAGGAGGGGUUGAGGUCAGGUCAGAUCCCCUGAAGGGAGAAAUUAUGGUUCAUUACUCUAUUAUCCUCUUCCUGUAGAACCACAAGAUGUAAGGAUUGGAGAGAAGGAGGAGUGUCUAAAGUGGAGUAUAUAUAUUUGUAGUGGUGUGAACAUGUCUUUAUCUGAAUACAGCUGUGUCGACCCUUUGGGGAGAAUUCAACUUGGUUCAGCUUCUCUAGUGUCCGUGAGUUAUUUACUCUGAAAAAUUAGAACCUAAGUUUAUAAUCUCUGUUAUUGGAAAAACACUGCAAGCACAACGCGGAUUAUUGGCUGCGUGUGUGUGUUUCCAAUUUCACACU